rnacentral:sRNA from 1 species
GGGACCUUAGCACUUUAAAAGAAUAUCUGAUGUACAGGAAAAGAAAAUGGAAGGUAAAAGGAAAUAUGGAUCAUAAGUAUAUGAUAAAUGAGAUGAAAUAAAUAGCGAAUAUAUUCAUAGAAAUAUGAUUCUUUUAUUGGAGAACCUUUACAUCUAAGGUACAAAAUGCAAAGUAAUACGCGUUCCUUUUGGACUAGAUACCCAUUCAAGAAAUAGUAUUAAUGGCGUAAGAUUGCAAAUUUGUAUUAGUAGUUGUCGACUCGUGAACAUUGUACGCAAUGCUAUCGCCAGAUAUCUCAUUCGUACGUAUGUACGAGAAACAUCACAUUGAUUUCGUUAAUUUUCGUUUCAUGGAACACGUAAAUAAUAAUUAAGGUACAACGUAAAUAAUAAUCAAGAUCUUGACAAAUAAAACUAUCCUCCAAAAUAAAA